rnacentral:rRNA from 1 species
UGGGGAAUUUUGGACAAUGGGCGAAAGCCUGAUCCAGCAAUGCCGCGUGUGUGAAGAAGGCCUUCGGGUUGUAAAGCACUUUUGUCCGGAAAGAAAUCCUUGGCUCUAAUACAGUCGGGGGAUGACGGUACCGGAAGAAUAAGCACCGGCUAACUACGUGCCAGCAGCCGCGGUAAUACGUAGGGUGCAAGCGUUAAUCGGAAUUACUGGGCGUAAAGCGUGCGCAGGCGGUUUGCUAAGACCGAUGUGAAAUCCCCGGGCGUCAACCUGGGAACUGGCAUUGGUGACUGGCAGGCUAGAGUAUGGCAGAGGGGGGUAGAAUUCCACGUGUAGCAGUGAAAUGCGUAGAGAUGUGGAGGAAUACCGAUGGCGAAGGCAGCCCCCUGGGCCAAUACUGACGCUCAUGCACGAAAGCGUGGGGAGCAAACAGGAUUAGAUACCCUGGUAGUCCACGCCCUAAAACGAUGUCAACUAGUUGUUGGGGAUUCAUUUCCUUAGUAACGUAGCUAACGCGUGAAGUUGACCGCCUGGGGAGUACGGUCGCAAGAUUAAAACUCAAAUGAAUUGACGGGUCG